UCUUUGUGAUUGUUUGGUACUAGUCAUUAACUUUGUUCCCAUUUUGUAUAAAUAUUAUGUAUUAGAAGUUAGAGGCAGUUUUCUGUGAAGAGUAUUUCUACUUGAUUUUAUGUUAUUUGAUAAAUAGAUGUUUUGAAUAGCAGCAUAAAAUUAAAUGUAUAAAUUUAAUAUUAUUGCUGUAUUGUAAUCUUUUUCUGUUUAAUUUUUUGGCUUGCAUUAUUUUAGUCGAGUAAAGUAUUUUGUAUCUGUUAUUUUUAUGGUAAUAUAUCUUUUCUUCAUAUAAAAUAAAAUUUGAGACCUCUGCAUCCAAAAUACUAAAUAUAAAAGUUUAUAAAUUAUAUUAAAAUAUGUCUCAGAUUAUAUAGAGUGAUGCGUAGUCAUUGUUACCUUCAAAUUAGCCACUUGGUGAAAUAUGUCACUUUUUAGUCGCUAGACUAUGUUUGAAAGCUGUAAAAUACUGGCGAGCCACAAUUUAGGACCACGUAAAAUGUGAAAAUCGGGUUUAUGGAAACAGAUUAGAAUUUAUUUUCAUUAUGGAAUGUUUUGUUUCAAAGUUUGUUGAAAAAAUAUAUUUUGAUGUAUAAUAAAGGUAUAUAGUAUGA
ensembl:lncRNA novel transcript, sense intronic to CCDC91